ACUUUAUCCAUCGCUAUAUAAAUACAAUAAUUGCUCUUAAAAUUCACCAUACCAAAUCAUCAUCAUUAUGAGUUUAUGGUGUAUCAUCAUUUAUUUCUUAUCCCUAAUUACCAGGCGGUGAUAGUGGAGGUGCAGUGGCCAGAUCUUUGUGGUGGUUGCGGUGAUGGGGUGCCGGAUCUUUGUGGUGGUGUUAAUUGGGCGGCGAGAGAUGGUCAAGUGUAAAAGAUAUUGGAUACCUUUUAUGAUUUUCAUUUGUUUUAAAAAAGUGUGUAUAUGUUUCGAUUGGACUUAAUUGCAAGCUAUAAAAUUCAUGAAUGGAGGAAGAAGACUUGACUGCCUGUAGUAACGUAGCAUCUCCUUUUUUUCUUAGCAAACAAACUUGGAUUUUUCUUGAGUUAAUUUUUAGUAAUGAGCUCAUAUGAAUAAAUUAUGUUGUUUGAUGAUUUCCUAAUCUAUUAUCAUUCUUAUA